ACCCCUCCCAAAACUUGCCACUGCUUCUGAGCAGAGGUCCACCACAUAGUGCUUCACAAACAUCUCUUAUGACACCUGCAUUGCAGCCAUACACAUGUCCUUGAAAUUUAUUCCUGUAAAUGCACUGCUGAGAACACAUACACCCUCUUAGAGUGGGCCUUUAUAGCUUUAGGAGGAUCUACCUUCUACAUCUUGUAAGCAAGGUAGAUAGUCUCUACCAGCCAAUCAGAGAGUCUUUGUCUUGAAACAGGAUGUCCCCUCUACCUUUGUUUAUAAGUGACUAAUAGUCAUCUUGUCUUUCUUAUCGCAAACAUUCACUGCAAACAGAACAGAAGAGCACAUCGCACAUCCAGGCUGUGCACUGCCCAUUCCAAAGGUGUUUCUGGAUUUUGGAAAAAGGGUCUCAAGUCUUUUAGAAGUUGCAGUGGAUGUGUGCAGGACCUGCCAAGCCAUCUUAGCUGUCUUUGUUAUCACAGGAAGCAUUGGCAUCAUUUUUCACUUAUCAUGGAUGAGUAGAUGAGCAGAUUUCCUGAGCCCUGC